rnacentral:rRNA from 1 species
UGACCUCAAAUCAGGUAGGACUACCCGCUGAACUUAAGCAUAUCAAUAAGCGGAGGAAAAGAAACUAACAAGGAUUCCCCUAGUAACUGCGAGUGAAGCGGGAAAAGCUCAAAUUUAAAAUCUGGCAGUCUUUUGGCUGUCCGAGUUGUAAUCUAGAGAAGUGUUAUUCCGCGCUGGACCGUGUACAAGUCUCCUGGAAUGGAGCAUCAUAGAGGGUGAGAAUCCCGUCUUUGACAUGGACUGCCAGGGCUUUUGUGAUGCGCUCUCAAAGAGUCGAGUUGUUUGGGAAUGCAGCUCAAAAUGGGUGGUAAAUUCCAUCUAAAGCUAAAUAUUGGCGAGAGACCGAUAGCGAACAAGUACCGUGAGGGAAAGAUGAAAAGAACUUUGGAAAGAGAGUUAAACAGUACGUGAAAUUGCUGAAAGGGAAACGCUUGAAGUCAGUCGCGUCGUCCAGGGAUCAACCUUGCUUUUGCUUGGUGCAUUUUCUGGUUUGACGGGUCAGCAUCAAUUUUGAUCAUAUAUUGGAAAAAGGUCAAGGGAAUGUGGCAUCCUUGGAUGUGUUUAUAGCCCUUGGUCAAAUACAAUGGUUGGGAUUGAGGAACUCAGCAUGCUGCAAGGUGUGCUUAG